AAAUCAUAUUCUUUAGUCCGAGGAUCUUGCCAUGACAAUGAUGGUUAAUACCAUUCUAUUUCUCUUAUCAUUCUUUUACUCUUUACCAGCUUAUAACUUUCUCCUUCUAAUGUUGGAUAGUCAGAUUCAUUAGUCAUGCAAUCCGUGUACCUGGCCUUAAUCUGAUCACCCAUAUUUGGCUCAAGGUUUCUUAAAACUCAUGGGAGAAAAACAUACUCAUAUCCAACAUAUAUUCCCAAUCCUUUUCUGAGGUUCCAUCUUAGACGGCACAUAUGUAUGUGGUGGUUUAUUCAAAGUCUCUUAAGAUGGUAUAUGUCUGGCUCAUGACCCGUAUUCAAUCUGAGAUGGGAAUAUCUAUGCUCACUUGUAUGGCCUGAUGCAUAUUAACCUUAUAUACAUGUAAAACUCGUGAUGUCCCAAAGCUUUAGGCUGGAUGUGGAUUAUGUGUUUUAUAAAAGGGUCCAGCCAAGCCGUUUAUAGCAUGGUCAUAGGCCAUGGUACACGAAUUUGUAGUAUAGUCAUGGACCACGGGUUUAUCCUCACUCCCCCUCAUGAACAUACUAUAAUUUCGUGAUGCUUGGGACAAUAAAGCCUAAUGAGUUUCCCUUGUGUACAUGUUACACAACGUGAGAUCCUAUGGGAUAACUCUGUGUGCCUUUUGCAAUAUCAAUCUUUGCAUCAAGUUUAUACUAGGAUGGCUAAUCCAGUUGUGCCAUAAAGUGUAUAAUUUCGUGGGGUAUACCAAUCUGGUUACCAUGGCUCUUGCCUCUUAUCAUACUGAUCUUUGACAUAGUCUAGAUCAGUAGAGUACGCAGGUAUAGUCUUGACCACUUUCUUAUAAGGCCUUAGGCGAUUUUUCUUCUUAGAUCUGAAGGAACUUUUUGUUUCCUUUUUGCCCAUUGUUUCUAUUUGGAAACCAUUUUAUUAUAACUCAAUGGGUCACGAAUUCUUGGGUGUAUAUAAUGCCCUUUAGGCAAUGCCUUGGCCAUAGAUUCCUCACUAGGCUACUAUACCCGCAAAUUUGUACUCUUUAUCAAUAAAAAUCAUUCACAUUAUCAAGCAAAAUCAGGCAAGGUAUAAUAGCAAUGAACUCAAAACAAUUCUAUCAUUAUAAGAAAAUUCGUGAAUGACAAGAAGGUCAAAGCAAAGCAUAAAUCAAAACCUUAACACAAAAUCAGUAUGUCGAAAUCUUUUUUUUUUAAGUCAAUAGACAAGCCGGCCACACCAUCCGUUACUUUGGACACGGCUACCUUGGAUUCUUUCUUAUCUUCUUCAGCCUUAUUGGCUUCAGGAUGUCUCAUCUCACUGCUUUUCUUUAGCAACUUAUUCUGCUCAAUUAUCAAUAGGCAUGAAAGCAGAUCAUUGUAGGUGGUGAAACCUCUUUCUAUAUAGAUAUGUGCUGACAACAGAUCUCCUAGGAAUGUGGAGUAUGUUUUGAACAGUACAUCCUCGUCUGUUACCACUUCACCACAUAGUCUCAGUUUGUAAACGAUUUUGGACAAAGAAAAGUGAUAUUCAUCCACAGACUCAAAGUCCUGGAAUCUGAGACUCAUACAUUCAUGCAUGACCUUUGGUAAUAACACCAUUUUGUAUCUGGAUUUUAAUUAUGUCCAAAGGUCACGGGGAUUCUCAAUAUUUAGGUACUGAUUUCUCAGAUCCUUAGUGAGAUGAUGGCGCAUAAUUGUUAUGACCCUAUACAUUUCACUUUCAGUUGCAUAAUUACCCUGAAUGAUACUCCUACCGAGUCCUCUUGAUUUCAGGACAACUGAAGUGUUCAUUGUCCAUUCCAGAUAAUUAUCUCCAGAGAGAUUUAGGACAGCAUAAUAAUCCAAGUUACAUAUUUUCGACAUCUGAAAUCAUCAAGUCUUAGGGUUUCACAAUUUCAUAGAAUACAUGCUGCUAAAUCAAACAAUCAAUUCACACAAGUAUUUAAAACAAAUUUCUAUGUGACCAUGGUGCGUAAUCUUAGUAAACGGUUUCUAUAUGAAUAUGUAACCAAUGCAUCAAUCAGAACAAACAAUCUUGAGAAUAAGCCGCACGGCCAAGAUCAAUAUAAUGCAACAAUCUUAGGUUAGAUGAUCUAUAAGAAAUAAGGCCACACAACCAUGAAUGAAUAUGCACUAAGCCACAUGUUUUUCGAAUUCUAUAUGAGUAUGCGGUCAAUACUUUUAAUCAAAUAAAUAAUUAUCAAGCAAGGCCACACGGCCACGAGUAUGAUGCAUAACAAAAACCACACGGCCAUAACAGAAUGUAAUGCAAAUAGGAUGAUUAGGUAAGAUGCAUUCAAUCUUAUCAUUCAUUUAUAUGCAUAUCAAUUAGGGUUUACCAAUUUCAAGGUUGGUAAUAUGCGGCUAGGAUUUAGGGUUUCAGAAUCAAAUAAUCUAGCAACUUAACUCUCAUGCAAUAUGUAAACAAUCUUAAACCUCAAAUCAAUCAUUCAAAUUUUAAGCAAUAUGGGAUUUAAGAUUUCAAGGCCUUAAAAUUUUAAUUCGAGAUUCAAUCAAUCUAUUAAUCUUAAAACUCAGAUUAUCAAUCAUUCAAACAAGAAUAAUUUAAAACCUCAAUGAUCAAACGAUUAGACAAGAACAUCAAACAAACCGAUUUACAAUUAGGGUUUUAGGGUUCUUCAUACAACCGAAUUUUACAUCCUAUCAUCUGGUUCUAUAUGAUCAAAUAAUCACAAAAUCUAACCGAUAUCCUAUCAUAAAUUUCUUGAUUCCAAACUUAGAGUAUUGAUUUCUAUUAUUAGGGUUUUGCAAGAUUUUAAUUUGUCUUAAACCUUUAUCAAUCAAGCCAAAUUCGAUGUGGGUUCUUUAUUAGGGUUUCAGAUUUACCUUUUUUUGUAGGGUUGAACCAGACCACCAAAAGCAGAGAGAGUUCGCGAGCUGGUGCGUGCGGACUAGUCGGGUCUCGAAUCGGGAACGAGCUGAAGCUGGUCGGAUUGCUAUCGGGUCGCUAUCGUCUCGCUAGAUCGUGCAGGCUGGAUGGAUUGCUACCAGGUUGCUAUCAGCUCGUCGGAUUCGGCUGAUCCUUCGGGAACGCGAGCUGGUUGAGGACGUCGGACGUGAACGGGGAACGCCUAGGGGAUGAGCUGAUCGUCGGAGUUGAGACGAGACGGAGAAAGCCUUAGAUCGUCGCCGGCUUAGGUUUUUAGGGUUUAGUAGUUGGCUCAUGGUUUUAGGACUAUCGUGCUGAUAACGUGUUAUAAAAUAAGGAAGAUGAAAGGAUUUGAAUCUAUGUAUUAUUCAUUCAUAGAAGUUUAUUUAUAUACAAGAAUAGACCGUCAUAGAUAAAUGAAAAUCCAUAGUAAUAUGGAAAUCCUAAACAUACUAGUUAAAAGUAAAGAUACAUAUUCCUAAUCUAAUUAGGAAAAAGAAAACCUAAGUACAUAAGUAAAAGGAAAAUCGGUCAAGUAUAAUGGAAAGCUUCCCGCCGCCUUUGGACAUGUGGUACGAACCGGAUGGACCUGUUUCUGGUCGGACUGGAUCAGGCCGGUUAUGGCUCGUCCACGUAAGGAUUUAUAAUACCAAUUGAUUUGAAGUAAGAUAUUUUAGUUAAAACUGGCCACUAACCUAAACCAUGAUAAACUAUCUAAAUGUCACGCGUGUGUAGAAGUAGUCGUAUGUUCGUUUUACAUAGGACGUGCGACCAAAUGCGAGGCUCAGUUGUCGUUAUUGUGCGCCUGACAGGGACAGCUACGGCCUCCAGCUUUCCUCUUGGCCCAACAAUCCACACGCGACGCGUGGACCAAUUCCCACAUGGAAAUCCCGAAUUUACCCUUAAAUGUCUUUGUUUUGUGCCCUUCCUUAAUUUAAUAGUGUUUCUACGUUUUAAUUUUUUUUUUCGGGUUAAUUAUGCUAUUACAAAUUAUAAAAAACAUUAGGUAGAAAUAUUACAGCCGAUAAUUCUAUCUGUCUUAUGAGGUUUCACGCCUGACUGCAUCACUCUGAGUAGCCCUAUGAGAUUCAUUCCUUACGGUACUCUUUGCGCCAUGCCGAAGAUCUUUUGUAAGUAUUUUCUCUAAUUUUUUGCAUAAUUCGCCUUCUCCGGGAAUUGAAACCCAAACCUCUGGGGUUCGAACCCCAGAUCUGGUAUAGAAGCCUUUAAACCUUGACCACUAGGCCACGGUGCUUCCAUAUUUUAAAUCCUUUUAAAACUCUCUUUUUGGUUGAUUAUUCUUCCUUUCUCCUCCUCUUCCUUUCUGCAUCUAAAUAUCCAGAGGGAAUGAUGCAGAAAUGUUCAUUGAGUAACCGGAGAAGGAGUUUCGAAGAUGAUGUACCAAUCUCAGAUAGAACGUUUGAGAUAAAUUCUCACAUCUCUGUUCCUUGUCAUUUGGAACAGUGUCUUAAUCUCAAGACAGGAGAGGUUUACUACAUAAACCGGAAGACCGGAAUAAACAACAACAACAAUGCAUAUGAUGAUUUCAGUGGAGAAUCGGAUGUAGCUGUUGUUUAAGAAGACGAUAGUUCUUAUUAUGAAAGCGAAGAAUCUUCAUCAGAGUCAUCGAUAGAGAAUCACGAAGAAGAGAAUGAAGUUCUUGUGGUAGCUGGCUGCAAAGCUUGUUUUAUUUAUUACAUGGUACCUAAACUCUUGAAAGAUUGCCCCAAAUGUGCAGCUCAGCUUCUUCACUUUGAUCGAAAUCACUCUGCUUCUCCUUAAACCUCUUUUUUUUUUAAUCUUUUUUCUCUUUUCAUUCUUCACAUAGCUUUGUAAGUUUCCUUUUAUUUAUUCCACUAUUUUUCCAUCUCUUAAAUCGUAUAUGUAUGAACUAUUGGUCGUGUUGUCUCGAUUGCAUUAACACGAGGUUUGAUGGCACUA